CCUACGGGUGGCAGCAGUGAGGAAUAUUGGUCAAUGGACGCAAGUCUGAACCAGCCAUGCCGCGUGCAGGAAGACGGCUCUAUGAGUUUUAAACUGUUUUUGUACGAGGGUAAACGCAGAUACGCGUAUCUGUCUGAAAGUAUCGUACGAAUAAGGAUCGGCUAACUCCGUGCCAGCAGCCGCGCUAAUACGGAGGGUUCAAGCGUUAUCCGGAUUUAUUGGGUUUAACGGGUGCGUAGGCGGUCGGAUAAGUUAGAGGUGAAAUCCCGAGGCUCAACUUCGGAAUUGCCUCUGAUACUGUUCGGCUUGAGAGUAGUUGAGGUAGGUGGAAUGUAUGGUGUAGCGGUGAAAUGCUUAGAGAUCAGACAGAACACCGAUUGCGAAGGCAGCUUCCCAAGCUACUUCUGACGUUGAGGCACGAAAGCGUGGGGAGCAAACAGGAUUAGAUACCCGAGUAGUC
rnacentral:rRNA from 1 species